UGCCAGCAGCCGCGGUAAUACGGCGGGGGCUAGCGUUGUUCGGAAUUAUUGGGCGUAAAGGGCGCGUAGGCGGCCCGGCAAGUCAGUCGUGAAAUCCCACGGCUCAACCGUGGAACUGCGUUUCAAACCACAAAACUUGAGGGAGACAGGGGUGAGCGGAACUGAUGGUGGAGCGGUGAAAUGCGUUGAUAUUGUCAGGAACACCGGUGGCGAAGGCGGCUCACUGGGUCUCUUCUGACGCUGAGGUACGAAAGCUAGGGUAGCGAACGGGAUUAGAUA
rnacentral:rRNA from 1 species